rnacentral:lncRNA from 1 species
AAAGAUAAUGAAUCCAAAUAAUUUAAAACUUGAAAACAUUUAAUAAAAGAUUUGAAAGACGUUAAAUAAAAGAUUUAAAAGAGAACAUCUUCACCCCCAAAACAACAGGAUCGCUUCCAGGUUACAGUAUUGAAAUUAGAAUCAACCACUAUUAUUACACAACAUCUCUUACCAAAUCAGAUCAUCUUCGAUAAGAAGAAUCACUGUCAACUAUUCCAGCUAUGACUUACACUUGAAUCCUUAUAGCACAGCUCUAGCUUGCACCAACCUCAUCAACUUUCCUGAACACUCCUCGACCACUGGAUCCUCAACUCUGUCUCCUCGCCUAGCAUUAGCCUUAUUCACAAUCUCAAUCAAUCAUCUCAUCUUUAAGCCUUUCU